UACGUAGGGGGCGAGCGUUGUCCGGAAUCAUUGGGCGUAAAGCGCGUGUAGGCGGUUCGGUAAGUCCGCUGUAAAAGUCGGGGGCUCAACCCUCGAACGCCGGUGGAUACUGUCGGGCUUGAGUACGGAAGAGGCGAGUGGAAUUCCUGGUGUAGCGGUGAAAUGCGCAGAUAUCAGGAGGAACACCAAUUGCGAAGGCAGCUCGCUGGGACGUUACUGACGCUGAGACGCGAAAGCGUGGGGAGCAAACAGG
rnacentral:rRNA from 1 species